ACGAGAAUCACUGGAAGGAGUUUUCGGACAACGGAAGGUGAGGACAGUGGCGGACGGGUGAGUAACGCGUGAGGAACCUGCCUUUCAGAGGGGGACAACAGUUGGAAACGACUGCUAAUACCGCAUGACACAUAGAGAUCGCAUGGUUUUUAUGUCAAAGAUUUAUCGCUGAAAGAUGGCCUCGCGUCUGAUUAGCUAGUUGGUGAGGUAACGGCCCACCAAGGCGACGAUCAGUAGCCGGACUGAGAGGUUGACCGGCCACAUUGGGACUGAGAUACGGCCCAGACUCCUACGGGAGGCAGCAGUGGGGAAUAUUGGGCAAUGGGCGCAAGCCUGACCCAGCAACGCCGCGUGAAGGAAGAAGGCUUUCGGGUUGUAAACUUCUUUUGUCGGGGACGAGUAGAAGACGGUACCUGGCGAAUAAGCCACGGCUAACUACGUGCCAGCAGCCGCGGUAAUACGUAGGUGGCAAGCGUUGUCCGGAUUUACUGGGUGUAAAGGGCGUGUAGCCGGGAAGGCAAGUCAGAUGUGAAAUCCACGGGCUUAACUCGUGAACUGCAUUUGAAACUACUUUUCUUGAGUAUCGGAGAGGCAAUCGGAAUUCCUAGUGUAGCGGUGAAAUGCGUAGAUAUUGGGAGGAACACCAGUGGCGGAGGCGGAUUGCUGGACGACAACUGACGGUGAGGCGCGAAAGCGUGGGGGAGCAAACAGGAUUAUAUACCCUGGUAGUCCACGCUGUAAACGAUGAAUACUAGGUGUGCGGGGACUGACCCCCUGCGUGCCGCAGUUAACACAAUAAGUAUUCCACCUGG
rnacentral:rRNA from 1 species